CUGACAACCAUGGAAACUCCAGCAGAAGAAAGUGAAUCUUUCUUACCAAGCAAAGCUCUGAGAAUUCCAGUCGGAAUCUCUGCCGCCGCCAAGAUACUUGCCCGUCCCUUCACUUCAGACUUCACUUCACACGAAAGUCAUUCAUCUGAAGGUGACCUGAGGCCAGGUGGUGCUUAUUCCGGCGAAUUCCCUCCCAUUCGGUGAGUUUUGAUGUGUUUCUUAAAACCCGACACAAACUUCCAAUACACGCAGCGAGAAUCAGUGCCUGGAGGCGAAGAAAUGUAAAGCUUCCCAAACACAGGAAAGGGACCGACUGCCAUUAUUGGGGUGACAAGAAUGCGGGUGCUCUUGAGGUUUUCUUAGGAAUUCUAAUCAAGAACCAAUGGACUAUCAAGAUCGAUCAAUGGAAAUUCGCGCCCACAAACACUCGGGAGGUGAAGACUCAUCAGACGGAUAUCAUGGAGCAACGCCCACGAAAACUCGGGAAGCUCAAUGAAAUACUGAGAAGCUACAUCAACAUCUUCUUGUUAGAACAUUGUUAAAGUAUAGCGGUCAUCAUUGUAUUCUGGAAUUAUCAUUUAUGAUGAGGAUUAUCAUGAAUGAUAAAACGGGGGAAUGUUAAUAUUGGCUAAAUUAAAGACACCAUAAAAUGGAGGAUCCCUGCACUUGUCAGAAUUGCUU